rnacentral:SRP_RNA from 1 species
ACCGGGCGUCGUGGCGGGCGUCUGUGAGCCAGCUUCUUGGCGGUAGAUGAGUGCGGAUGGAGUGAAGGGAGGAGUCCUGUGUGUGUUGUCGGCAACGGCGACCGAGCGUCCGUGCCAAGCGCUGCGUCGCCAGGGGUCAUCCGGCGGAGGCUGGGAGGUCCCGGGCGGAUAAGGAGAGGUGGACGGCUCAGGGCCGUGAGGCAGCAGGCAAAAGCUUCCGCGCGGGGCAGUGGUCGGAUAGCGCUUGUGAGUUGCAACACGCACGCAGCCUUCCUGACACCUUCAGACCGCUCAUCGU